GGCGGCGAGUGGCGAACGGGUGAGUAAUAUAUCGGAACGUACCCUGGAGUGGGGGAUAACGUAGCGAAAGUUACGCUAAUACCGCAUACGAUCUAAGGAUGAAAGUGGGGGAUUCGCAAGAACCUCAUGCUCCUGGAGCGGCCGAUAUCUGAUUAGCUAGUUGGUGGGGUAAAGGCCUACCAAGGCAUCGAUCAGUAGCUGGUCUGAGAGGACGACCAGCCACACUGGAACUGAGACACGGUCCAGACUCCUACGGGAGGCAGCAGUGGGGAAUUUUGGACAAUGGGCGCAAGCCUGAUCCAGCAAUGCCGCGUGAGUGAAGAAGGCCUUCGGGUUGUAAAGCUCUUUUGUCAGGGAAGAAACGGUGAGGGCUAAUAUCCUUUGCUAAUGACGGUACCUGAAGAAUAAGCACCGGCUAACUACGUGCCAGCAGCCGCGGUAAUACGUAGGGUGCAAGCGUUAAUCGGAAUUACUGGGCGUAAAGCGUGCGCAGGCGGUUUUGUAAGUCUGUCGUGAAAUCCCCGGGCUCAACCUGGGAAUUGCGAUGGAGACUGCAAGGCUAGAAUCUGGCAGAGGGGGGUAGAAUUCCACGUGUAGCAGUGAAAUGCGUAGAGAUGUGGAGGAACACCGAUGGCGAAGGCAGCCCCCUGGGUCAAGAUUGACGCUCAUGCACGAAAGCGUGGGGAGCAAACAGGAUUAGAUACCCUGGUAGUCCACGCCCUAAACGAUGUCUACUAGUUG
rnacentral:rRNA from 1 species